ACAGCUUUCCAGCAGACAUGCAUCACCUGCAGCCCACGUCAAACUAACUCCACUUGGCGUUCUCUGGCCCGGAUACGUUCUGCUGAUUCGACAGACAAGCUUUCUGAAUGAUAGUGUGGAGGGGGGCGUGGCCUGCGGGCCUGCCGCGGUACGGAGUGUGCAAGGACCGGCCUCGAAGACAGCGACAGCAGCCGGAACGAGACACAGGGUUGAAGUUGGAGUGGGAGCCAGAGAGAGAGAGAGACACAGG